UGACCGAAAAACAAAUAUGUAACAUAUUAACAAACGACAAUAGCAUGAAUCCAGAUUUUCCACAUGCCUUAUAAUGUUCAAUGUUGAAAAGACAAUUUGAUUGAUAGCGUCGAAAAUCUGGAAAAAAAACCCAAGUGGAGUCUAUUUCAUAAAUAAACUUACGACUAAGAUUGAUCGUAAGUAUACUGACUUGUUCGUCACUUACGAUCAAUCUUAGUCUUAAGUUUUUUGUGAAGCUGAUUAUUGUUUUUUAAGAUUUUUAGGGCUCCCUUACUUAUGUGCAAAAAUGCAGUUAUUGAAUUUUACAAUUGUAAAACAAAAGAUGCAUCAUAUUACAUGUAUUAUGGCCAUAACAUACACAAAAGAUAUAAAACUUAAAAAGCUGCAAUUAGUUUUUUUUCAUUUCACACAAUAACUUGCAAUAAAUAUUAUUUCUAUCAGUCAAAUUUAUCAACCAUUUGUUGGCCAUCAAAAUUCGUUCAAAUUAAAUGUAAUCAUAGUUUUUCACUCGGUAGGCUGCAAUUAUUGUUUUCAUUAUACAAAAAAGCUUAUAAAUAAAUAUUUUUUUAUCUGUCAAAUUAAUCAACCAUUUAUUAACCCUCACAAUUCGUUCAAAUUAAAUUCAAUCAUAGUUUUUCAAUCUUAGUCGAAGUACAACGGGUUAAUAUCUUCAAUAUCUGCCCUACAUAUUGGACAGCGCUGGUUCGACUCCAAAUAUACUUCUGUUGCACACUCCAUACAGGUCGUGUGGCCACAUGGUAAAAUCACAGCAUUUUUCUCACGGUCCAUGCAGAUCGUACAUUUCCUGGAAGGUUCCUUAAUUUUUUGAAAUUAAUAAAAAAAAAAGCAUCAUAGAUACCAAAUAUAAA
rnacentral:lncRNA from 1 species